rnacentral:sRNA from 1 species
UGAUGGCAGGGUCGAGAUGGUAAGCCA